UCACGAUUGUGGUGAAACAAGUUAGUGGGCGGUUGUUUACUUUACCAUAAAAAUGUCUUAACUUUAUUUUAACGAUCUUUAAAAUUUGCAUAAAUAGAGUAAAUAUUUUAUCAUUGCUAUUGAGAAAUAGGUACUGCAUAAAUAGAACUUGUUUUUAGUUGAGUAUGGAACAAAACAAAUAUUUUUAUGAAAACUGUUGUUGCUUUUCAAAAGGAAAUUGUGGAUCAUUCAAAAAACAUAAAAUUAUAAACAAAAUGUUCUACAUUCAUCAGCUGGGAGAUGUUGAUGUUAAGAAACACCUCAUCAACUUAAAGGUCAUGCGAUUAAACGAUAAUAAUAUUUGGGAAGAAAAUGGACUUAUUGCAAAUAGACUUAAAAGAAAUCUUGAAAAGGAUGAACAAAUAUGUGCUUUUCACCGGUACACGUUUGGUAUUGCAUGGAGUCCUCCAAAAACAUGCUUUCAUCCUCACCAUCUAAAUAUAAAAGGAAAAAAAUCUCCCGCUUUAAGGGCGUCAUCAAUACAUGUCGUCAUAUCAAUGUCAAAGCGAUACAAAGAAGUAUUUUCAGUUAGUGCAAUGCUGUGUUUUACCCAUUUAAAGCAAGAAACUGCUUUAUCUAGAGUCAACGAAAACACCAAUUUAUGUACAGAAACGCAAACACAACAAGAACAAACAUAUAUGACACCUGCUACUCCAGAUGAAGAAUUUGAUCCCAGUGAAAUUAAUGUUUCACAGGAGAUUUUGGACGAAUCUCUAAGAAGCCGUGAGAGUGUAACUGAGGUUCUUAAUGCAAUAAUCUUUUGACUGCUGAAGAUAUACACAAGGCUAUGCAUUAUAGUUUUAGCGCUAAAGAUGCAAAAGUAGCAGUUGCUCAAAUUAGCAAUGAUAAAACUGUAGUUACUGGACCAAAGAUUAAGAACAUUAGCAACUAUCACUCAUUUGAGUUUGGUGAGAAAAGUAUGAAGAUGUGGCGUUAUUUCAAUAUCGGUGAGGGAAUUGAACAAGAGUAUGGAAAUCUUAAAAUUCAACCCUCGAUUAAGUUGUUGUUGCCACAUAGCAAAACAGAUAAUUCAAUUAAGCGUAACAAGUCACUUAAGGAAAAACAGAAAAGAAGUGACAAUUAUAUUCAUUAAGAUUUUGCACUGAAAUAAAUUGUACUUUAUCAUUUGAAAGCGAUGCUGAGUUAGAAGAACACAUGCUAUCCGGUCUUCAUACAGUUCCGAAAUCAUUAACAUCAUUGGAUAAAGUUCGCAACUCGUUUGUUCAUAAGAUGAAAAUUACUUCACAACUAAAUAUGCCAAUUUCUUCAGUGCUUCCGUAAAAGACAAACCACAUUGCAUGAACAUUUUUCUAUUGCAAGGUUGGGCAUUACCAGUUCGAAGUUCUUUUAGAUUUUCAAAUCAGCAGAAAGAACUGUUGUAUAAAUACUUUAUUCGUGGAGAAGAAUCAGGUAAUAAAAUAAGCCCUGAGCAAGUUCACAUGCAGCUGAGGAGAGAACUUCCGCCUGAUCAAUAUGUAACUAGCCAACAGAUAAGAUCUUUAUUUUCAAGAUUUAGUAACCUGAAAAGAAAAGGUGCGCUAGUAGAACCGACAACAGAAAAUGAUGAAAAUAGUCAGGUUAACGAUAAAAAAGAAGUUUAUAGCGAAAAUAAUGACUUUAAUCUGACAGGAGACAAUGAAGAUGAUAAUAAAUAUGAGGAAGACAUCGCCAAUCUUGCAAAAGAAAUUUGUCCUGUAUGGAAAGUGAAUGAUUGGGUUGCUGUUGCAUAUGAAAAACAAUGGAAUAUUGGAUAUAUUGUGGAGGUAUCUAUAACUGGGAUCAGAGUUAAUUGUAUGAUUAACGGGCAAGAGAAGAAUACUUUUCGCUGGCCAGUUACUACCGAGGAGAUAAAUAACCAAACUGAUAAAAUUAUCUGUUUAGUAAAUGCUCCUUUUCUAAUCAGCGGUUGUGGCGAUUAUUCAUUAUCCGAAGAAGACUAUAAUACAGUCAUAUCAUUAUUCUUAGAGAAACUUACUGCAGCAGAGUAGAAAUUAUGUGUGAUGUGGUGGAUAAUGUGUGUAAAUGACUCUAUUAAUAAAUGAAAAACUAAUUUUUAAAUGGAAAAACAUUUAAAUGUUUGAUUUAUGUUUUAUUUAAUUAGCAAUAUAGUUAUCUUGAUGUUA